CACCCCAUGGUGAAAAUUAGGCCGUAAAGAGCAAGGUUUAGUAGGUUUACUCUCGAACCACCUUGAGGCUAAUAAGAAG
rnacentral:sRNA from 12 species